GAUAAGGUGGCUGAAUUUUAGGCUAUAAAUUGUAAAUUUAUAUAUGGUAUGAUAACCUCUUAUCA
rnacentral:tRNA from 2 species